UACGAAGGGGGCUAGCGUUGUUGGGAAUUACUGGGCGUAAGGCGCACGUAGGCGGAUUGUUAAGUCAGGGGUGAAAUCCCCGGGCUCAACCUCGGAACUGCCUUUGAUACUGGGAGUCUUGAGGCCGAGAGAGGUGCGUGGAAUUCCGAGUGUAGAGGUGAAAUUCGUAGAUAUUCGGAAGCACACCAGUGGCGAAGGCGGCUCACUGGCUCGGUACUGACGCUGAGGUGCGAAAGCGUGGGGAGCAAACAGG
rnacentral:misc_RNA from 1 species